UUGAUCUUCCCGUGCAGAAGCGGGAAUUUCUCCAUAAGACGAGAAGACCCUGUGGAGCUUUAGACACCAAAACAGAUCACGUCAAAACCCCCUUAUAAAGGGCCAAACAGCCGAACCCUGUUUCAAUGUCUUCGGUUGGGGCGACCACGGUGGAACCACAAAACCCCCGCGUGGAAUAAGAGCACCCUCUGCUCUCACACUCAAGAGCCCCCGCUCUAAUAUACAGAACUUCUGACCAACAAGAUCCGGCAACGCCGAUCAACGAACCAAGUUACCCCAGGGAUAACAGCGCAAUCCUCUUUCAGAGCCCAUAUCGACAAGAGGGUUUACGACCUCGAUGUUGGAUCAGGACAUCCUAAUGGUGCAGCCGCUAUUAAGGGUUCGUUUGUUCAACGAUGAAAGUCG
rnacentral:rRNA from 1 species